GAGGGGGAGAGAGAAAAAAAAUUGUUGAAAAAAAUAAAAGGCUUAUAUUUUCAUACUGGCAGGCUGUCUGUCAGUACCUAAGAUGGGGGUUACCAGGGAUCAGAUAUGGAUCAGGGGAUGCGCAGACGGACUUCCGCUUCCUCAUUUCCCUAAAGAUGCACAUGCGUAUUUUGAUAGUCCCGAUGUAACUUGGUGCUACGUGCACGAGUGUUAGCUAGAAAGAAUACACCACUAUAAGGCCAUUUUCUUCUAUACAUAAGGGUCCUGGACAAGAAAAAAAAAAUGGAAUUUCUGAAGUGGUCCUGCCAAAAAAAAGCUGACUCAACAUGAAGGAAGGAGGCGCAUAGUCCAAGAUACUGGUGCCUGUGAGUGGGAGAGAUUGUUCAUCGCAGAGAACAUAAUCUUGGAAAAGAUACAUAAUAUUCAGAGAGGUGCCAA